UACAUGCAAGUCGAACGAUAGUUGUCAGCUUGCUGAUAACGAAAAGUGGCGCACGGGUGCGUAACGCGUAUGCAACCUACCUUAUUCAGGGGGAUAGCCCGAAGAAAUUCGGAUUAACACCGCAUAAAAUCACAGUCCAGCAUUGGAUAAUGAUCAAAUAUUUAUAGGAAUAAGAUGGGCAUGCGUGUCAUUAGCUAGUUGGCGGGGUAACGGCCCACCAAGGCGACGAUGACUAGGGGAUCUGAGAGGAUGACCCCCCACACUGGUACUGAGACACGGACCAGACUCCUACGGGAGGCAGCAGUAAGGAAUAUUGGUCAAUGGAGGCAACUCUGAACCAGCCAUGCCGCGUGCAGGAAGACAGCCCUCUGGGUCGUAAACUGCUUUUAUUCGGGAAUAAACCUUAAUACGUGUAUUAAGCUGAAUGUACCGAAGGAAUAAGGAUCGGCUAACUCCGUGCCAGCAGCCGCGGUAAUACGGAGGAUCCAAGCGUUAUCCGGAUUUAUUGGGUUUAAAGGGUGCGUAGGCGGCUUGUUAAGUCAGGGGUGAAAGACGGUGGCUCAACCAUCGCAGUGCCUUUGAUACUGAUGAGCUUGAAUGAACUAGAGGUAGGCGGAAUGUGACAAGUAGCGGUGAAAUGCAUAGAUAUGUCACAGAACACCGAUUGCGAAGGCAGCUUACUAUGGUUUUAUUGACGCUGAGGCACGAAAGCGUGGGGAUCAAACAGGAUUAGAUACCCUGGUAGUCCACGCCCUAAACGAUGAAUACUCGCUGUUAGCGAUAUACAGUUAGCGGCUAAGCGAAAGCGUUAAGUAUUCCACCUGGGGAGUACGCCCGCAAGGGUGAAACUCAAAGGAAUUGACGGGGGCCCGCACAAGCGGAGGAGCAUGUGGUUUAAUUCGAUGAUACGCGAGGAACCUUACCCGGGCUUGAAAGUUAGUGAAUCAUUUAGAGAUAGAUGAGUGAGCAAUCACACGAAACUAGGUGCUGCAUGGCUGUCGUCAGCUCGUGCCGUGAGGUGUUGGGUUAAGUCCCGCAACGAGCGCAACCCCUAUGUUUAGUUGCCAGCACGUUAAGGUGGGGACUCUAAACAGACUGCCUGUGCAAACAGAGAGGAAGGAGGGGACGACGUCAAGUCAUCAUGGCCCUUACGUCCGGGGCUACACACGUGCUACAAUGGAUGGUACAGAGGGCAGCAAGCUGGUAACAGCAAGCAAAUCUCAAAAAGCCAUUCACAGUUCGGAUAGAGGUCUGCAACUCGACCUCUUGAAGUUGGAUUCGCUAGUAAUCGCGUAUCAGCAAUGACGCGGUGAAUACGUUCCCGGGCCUUGUACACACCGCCCGUCAAGCCAUGGAAGUUGGGGGUACCUAAAGUAUGUAACCGCAA
rnacentral:rRNA from 1 species